rnacentral:rRNA from 1 species
UCUGGUGACAAUAGCAUUGUGGUCCCACCUGAUCCCAUCCCGAACUCAGAAGUGAAACGCAAUAGCGCCGAUGGUAGUGUGGGGUCUCCCCAUGUGAGAGUAGGUCAUCGCCAGAC